rnacentral:lncRNA from 1 species
UUUUUUUUUUUUUUGUCUUUUUGUCUUUUUGCUAUUUCUUUGGGCCGCUCCUAUGGCUAUGGAGGUUCCCAGGCUAGGGGUCGAAUUGGAGCUGUAGCCACUGGCCUCUGCCAGAGCCACAGCAACGCAGGAUCCGAGCCGCGUCUGCAACCUAUACCACAGCUCAUGGCAACGCCGGGUCUUGCUCAGACCCACUGAGCAAGGGCAGGGACCGAACCCGCAACCUCAUGGUUCCUAGUCGGAUUUGGUAACCACUGCACCACGACGUGAUAGAUAGCAUUGAAUGCCUGUUAAGUAGACACUUAAUGCAGUGAAGUUUUUCUUGAACUCUUCACAUCUACAAUGCUAAAAUAUUUUCUUCUCAGAGAAAAAUCCAAAUUAUUAAAAAUGUUUGGCUAUUUAGAAUCAUGGGGGCUCGUGAUUACAAGUGCCUCUGGAGAAUUUCCAAAGAAACCACCUACCGCCCCUGUGGUGUGCCUUCAGAUUUUUUCCCCACAGAAUAUGGAGGGAAGCAGCACAAGAUAAAAGCAGUGAUGGUGAAAUUCUUUAACUAUUUACAAGGCUGGAUAAGAGUUUCUGUCUUGCAGGUCGCCAAAUACCUAAAUUCAGUUCCCUUGUGGCAAGCUUUAAAUGGAUGAUUUGAAAAGUCUCAUUUUAUGUGCAUUGAUUUCAUGAGGGUUUCUUUUUUUUCCCAUUCUUUCUGUGGUCACACUGGUGGCAUAUGGGAGCUCCCAGGCCAGGAAUUGAAUCCCAUGCCGCAGCAGUGGCAACCCACUGCUGGGACCAAGGGUCAAACCCAUUCCUCCACAGCCACCCUGGCUACUGCGGUUGGAUUCUUAACCCACUGCACCACGACGGGAACUCCAUGAGGGUUUCCUCAUGAUGUGGGAUUACUGGAUUCUUUCUCUGGCACAUCUGAAUUGUUCUUGGUGGUGGCCAAACAUUCUGCCACUGCCCUGCCCUCCUAAGUCUGUACCAUUGGUGUGGCCCUCACAUCUGCCUCUUUGUGCUCAUAGACUGGGUGUAUACUUGUAGACACUUGGCACAGAACUGGCUGUGAAUACAGAGGUCCCCAAAGCCCCCACGUGUUUAAGAACAAUGAAUGUUAAUGUUGCUAGCCAGCAGCGAGAAAAGCAGAGCAGAGACGCUCCUAACAAGAGCUGACACAAGGAAAAAUACUGGCUUUUUGUCUCUCUUGUAUGUUAAACAAUUCAUGAGGUUUGGGGUUGAGUGAGACAUUUAAUAAACAUUGGCCGCUUGGGCUGCCUACAGCUGGUGAUUUGUCAGUAUUGGUCAAAUGUAUGAGGAACAGAAUGAAUUUUUCAGCAUUGAGGACUUGAGGCUUAACAAAUAAUGCUGUUUACCAUCCAUUUAAAUUUAAAGAUACAACACUUUUUAAGUGAUAAGCUCAGAAUUUUGAUAAAGAAAAAAAAGUCUCCCAUAAGAUGAAAUUAAGGUAUUUUCAAAUUGAAGUCUCUCAUAGAGUCUUAGCUCCAUAAUUGCUCUUAAGUAUCACUCAGCUUAAGCUCCUACACCUUACUGGAAUCCCUCCUGAAGAAUGGGUCAGCUAUCUAGUCUUGCUUGAACAUUUUGCCCUGCCUAAUUCAGUUUCUUUAAAGGAGCUGCUCACUACAGUCUUGAGAUGAAAGGAAUGACCCACCAGACCUGAACUAUCUCAUCUCACUUACCUGUAUAUGUACCCGGUACCUCUCCUUUGCUAAUGAAUUCACCUGAAUUCUGUGUGACUGACCUUAUGGGUAAAGCACCUGAUGGGUAGCUUUGGCCCCUGUGACCCACAGCUGCUAGAAAGGUUUUCAUGAUAUUCAUGUGUUUGCUGCCUCCUUUACAUCUCUACCCAUGCCUGCCUCAAAACUUAAAGCUAAAUUUUGCGGCUGAAUUAGUAAUUUUAGACUCUAGAUUUUAUAAAAUUUGAAUGAGGACUUCAUCAGAGAGAUCAUUGUCAGAGUGAUGUCCAAGUCAGAUGUUUCUACCUUAAAUUAACAAUAAUUUGUUCCAAAAGUUUGUUGUUUCUGCUGAUCCAUGUAAAUGUCAAGGAUGUGUUUUAUAAAAAUGGAAACUGAGCCACAUAUAUUCAAAAGGGGGUGAUGUGUCUUAGCAAGGAGGGAUCUGAACACAUGGCAGCAAAAUGGGGUAGGCACAUGGGCAGCUAACCUUCUGUCCCUUGAAGGAAUUCCAUCUGAAGAAUGGGCUGGUCAUCCAUUCUCUGCUUGGAUAUUUUGAAUAUAAUAUCAAAGUGGGCACAUUGAUAUCAAUGAGUUUCCUUUUCUAUACUGGUUUUCUCUGCUUUCAUACACACACACACACACACACACACAUACACACAUAUAUAUACAUAUAUACAUAUAUAUAUACACACAACUGAGUAUCCAAAGAAGGAUGUAGGAAAUGGCUAUUCUAGUGUUGGUAAUAAUUUAUGUUUAAUUUACAUAGACAUGGUUCUUUCUUAGGGGGGAUGAUAUGAUAGAAGAUAAUAUGAGAAAAAGAAUGUAUGUAUAUGUAUAACUGGGUCACUUUGUUGCCAGAAUUUAUGCAGCAGAAAUUGACAGAACACUAUAAAUCAGCUAUAAUAAUUUUUUUUUAAAAAAAAGAAAAAUGAAUCUAAGUUGGAGGAAAGGGGCCAACUCUUUAAUAAGGGAAGCAUAACUAAGUGUAUAGUCAAUAAUAGACAACACUCUCUUAGAGUUGAUAGAAUGUUUCCAAAACUCCUGAUACUCUGGAUUUGAUAUCCUGUCUCAGACAACAAUGUAGAUGUCCUGUAUUUGAAACAAGUUUACAUAGCAAAAUAACAAUAUCAUGAUAUCUCUGUUUAAGAUCAAGGAAGAAAUAUGGGCAUGGGUUUCAUUGCCAAGCACACAGUUACUCAUUUUAUUAAAUUUGAUUCUAUGUGGCACAAAAUAACACAGGUCAUUCUGGGACAAUAAAAGGCAUAGGACUUGGAACAAGAUCUUGAUUGUUUUUUUCCCUUGUGGCCAAAUAGUUGAGUGAUUUAGGGCAAGUCAUUUAUUCCUCUGGAUCCUGGCCUGCCUGUUUAUAAAAUGGGAUUCAUAAUAAUUCUCAUCUUAGGGCUCAUGGGAGACUUAAAUAAGGUAAUGCACUUAGACAUACUUUAUAAAUUAUAAAUGAUCAUUUUAAUGGCAGAUACUGUUGAAAAUAUAAUAUUAUCAUUGGUAAAACUACAAUAAUACUACCAAGUUUAUGCCAUGAAAUAGUAUAGUGGUUCAUAACAUUGGCUUAGUAUGAUCUAAAGGGGCUUGUUAGAGUGGUAUUUUCUGGGACUCUUCCAGGUGUGCGGUGCCCAGAAGACUAGACAUUAAGGGAUUUUCCAAUUUUUUGCAGAAGUGUCUGAGAACUACUGUCUCCCAGAAUUAGGCAGAAAAUUUGGUAUGUCAUCCAGGCACCAAUGCAAAAAUAAUAUCAGAUGAAGGAGCUUAAUGAUUUAUUAAUCCCGAAAUCAAGGCAUGUUAGACAUACCUAAGGUCAACACAUCCCCUGAUUCUCUCAGAAUCGAAAGUGUUAAAAACUUCAGUCCAUUAAAGACUCUUGUAAUGAGUAUGUAUCAGAUGGAAAACAAAUGUCAGCCUUUUGUACAUUAGUCCAUGUAGACAUGCGAUUGUACUCUUGUCUUAUACACACACAGGCAUCUUUGCCCUGGCUUCUUAUUCUGGCAACCCCAAUGAGGCGUGAGCAGGGCAUGGUAGAGGAGAGCUAGAGAUCAAAAUGGCCCAAAGUAGAUGGCCUGAAAGUUGAGCAGGAUGGUCGUGAUAUGGAAGACAGCUCUUCUCCUUUGCCUAACCUUUUGCCAAGUCAAGCUAACAUUCGCAAAAUAGAAGAUAUAGACUAAAGAGCUUAUUAUGCCCCAUAGUUCUUAUCCAUAUGUCACAGCUGUAUGCAAUGCCCCUUUCUCCAUUUAUAAUGCUUGAAGUCCCACUCAUCCUUCAAAUCCUGAAAGCUCAAAUCCUUGUUUCCUAUGUGAAGCCAGUUCUAACUUCCCCCACAAGGCAGGUGUUCCUUCCUCCUCCCAAGUGAAUUAAUUUUGUGUGCAUCAAAUUCUCCUUCUAAACUAUAAGCUUCUUUCUGGAGGUAAGACAUGCCUGCUUCAUCUGUGUUUCUUCAGAACCUAGCACAUUGCCUGGCAUAGAGUUUGGUAACUGUUAAUAUCCAGGUGAUUAACAGUGUCACUUUUAAGGAAUAUGUCCUUGAGACUAUGUCCUUGAAGUCACCAUUCUGUUGUCAUUUCUGUGAUUUUUCUAUACUGUAUGGACUCAAUAGGUCUCUAAGCACACAUAUACUGUUUCAUUAUAAUUUGAGGGAAGAAGUAAAUCACAUUAAACUCUUUCAGAUGGAUCACUUUGGCCUGACAAAAAUUCCUAUUGGUUGGUUUGUAUCAUUACCCUAGGUCAAACUACAUAAUUCACCUGUACUUUAAGUAAAGACUAAGUAUAUAGAUAGAUAUUAGUUACUAAAUCUCUUUUUUUCUGGGCUUCAUAAUUGGUUCUAGGCCAAAAUUCAGUUUCAUAUCUCUUUCUGGUUUCUAUCCAUAGAAAUACAUUUUCCCCUGAGUACAACCAUAAGCUCACCCUAGCCCCCAAAUUUCUUCCUUUCCAAAAUGUUAUUGUAUACUUUAUUGCCACAAUUUCUCCAAAAAAAACCUCCAAAUAUCUUUACAAUUUUGUUUCUCUAUGUCGUAUUUAUAGGAGUUUCAUUCCUUUUUUUUUUUUUUUUUUUUUUUGGUUUUCAGGGCCACACCCAUGGCAUAUGGAGGUUCCCAGGCCAGGGGUUGAAUCGGAGCUAUAGCUGCCUCCUACACCACAGCCACAGCAACGCAGGAUCCUUAACCCACUGAGCCAGGCUAGGGCUCAAACCUGCAUCCUUAUGGAUAUUAGUCAUAUUUGUUUUCCCUGAACCAUGAUGGGAACUCCAAGGAGUUUCAUUCUUAAAUCAGCAGACUUAUCUCUUGACAUGUUAAUUUUCUUAAAUAUUUCUUCAACUUAUCUAUUAGUGUCUUAGAGGAUGAUAUUGAUAACAUAUAACACUUUGGUUUAUUCACAAACUAAGGGGCCAUGUGACAGGUACCUAUUGAAAAAGAUCUGGAAAGUCUGGAGAAUAUAUACAUAGAAAUGUCCUGGUCUGAUAAAACAAAGUAAUGAGUUUCCUAUCACUGAUUGUGGACAAACAAAAGGCAGUUCAAUACAAAAUAUGGGAAUUGGAGAAGCAAUUUAAAUGUUAGAUAAUGGUCACUGCCAGACUUAAAAUUCUCUCAUCUUUCACAUCAUUUUAUUGAGAUCAGAGUUCUAUGACCUCACUUUUAUGUCUUCCUGAAAAUGGUAUGUGAGCCCUACGUAAAUUGUUAACACCGCACCAUUCUAUAUAAUUUUAUCAGCUUGUUUUCUAAUUAGAUGUCCAUUUCCUGACCAUUUCUUUAUAAGUGACAAUUUGAUCAGAGUCAUAAAAAAUUGAGAAUGGAGAUAUUCAUAUGAGGCUUGUUGAUUUCACAAUGUUCUGAAAUGACUCAUCCCCAACCCUACUCUACCUCUCUUCUGCCUUAUCAUCACCAUCAGAACAUUUGUAAAAUAAGAGAUGAUCUGUCCUGUGACUUUUUUGGUAUUUCUAGGAUUGUCCUCUUAUUCAUUACUUUUAGUGUUCACUCACUGCGUCUUCCUUCCCCUUCUCUGCUAUUUGCAUCAUUUUUUUUUUCUUUUUUCUUUUUUCUUUUUCUUUUUUCUUUUUUGCCUUUUAGGGCCACAUCCAUGGCAUCUGGAGUUUUCCAGGCUAGUGAUCAAAUUGGAGCUGCAGCUGCCGGCCUAUGCCACAGCCACAGCAACACAGGAUCCAAGCCGUGUCUGAGACCUACACCACAGCUCACGGCAAUGCUGGAUCCUUAACCCACUGAGCAAGGCCAGGGAUUGAACCCGCAACCUCAUGGUUACUAGUCGGGUUUGUUAACCACUGAGCCACGAUGGGAACUCCUGCAUAAUUUUUUAAUAGUUCAUUUACAACAUAUUAGUUCAUGUGUACAAGAUAGUGAUUCAAUAUUUUUAUAGAUUAUAAUCUAGUUACAGGUAUUUUAAAAUAUUGUUUAUAUUACCUGUGCUGUAUAAUAUAUCCCUGUAUCUUAUUUAUUUUAUAAUAGCAGUUUGUCCCUAGUAAUCUCAUCCCCCUAUUUUGUUCUUCCCCCAAACCUUCUCUCCACUGGUAACCACUAGUUUGUUCUCUAUAUCUGUGAGGCUGUUUCUGUUUCAUAUGCAUCACUUUGGAUGAGACAUGGGGGCCCAUAUCCCCUCCCCUUUUCUGCCUGGAAGUGCUUAUGGAGCUCGGAGAAUGACUUGAAGUUGGAUUGUUUAUCACUGUGCUGAAAAAUGGAAGGAUGGCAUCACUACAGGAGCAGAUGGCACUGUAUGUUUGGCAUAAUUUUCUCAGACAAACUAGGACUAGGGCUGUGAAUGCUGGCAUUUGCCUGCUAUAUAGUCAUCUACGUCAAAACAUAACAAUGAAAAUAAGGGACUUUGUGGAAAAGGCAUUGAGGUUUUAAAUUAUGUGCAUUUAAGUGCCAUAGGCUCCUGUUGUAUGCAUACAACUUGGUUGAACUUCUGACAUUCUUCAUUAAGCAGAAUUUUAUAUAUGACCAAGCUUUUUCGUGUUUAUCUUCCUUUGUAUUUCCACAAAUGUUCUCAGGUAGUGCUAUAUUAGAAAAUUGCUUUUAAGCAUGUAGAGUAUGUUUGAAACAAAUAGAAAUCGAAAUGAUGGCAUAAAGAAUAAGAAUGUGUUUUAAAUUCUGAGAACCAAGAAAUAUCUGAAAGAAAAAUAUGCGGUGAUGAAGGGAUCAUUAAUCUUUGUUUUACAAAACUCAAAUUAAGGUUAUACUACUUACUUACUGGGUGAUUUUAGACAAUUCAAACAUAUUAAACUUAUUGUUUUUCUCACUGAGUAAAUGAAGAGUUUGGAUAGGGUGAUUGCUAAGAUUUUUUUCUAAUUCUAAUUUUAUUUGAUUUGCUCUUUCUAUGCAAACUGAUGCAGCAGUAAUAUAGGCCACCCAUUUACUUUUUGGCCUAUUCAUGUGCUUUUUUAAUUUUUAAUUAAUUUAUUUUUAAAGAACAAUGGAGAGAAAGGAGAGAGAACACAAUGCAAAUGGCCUCAGGACUCAGGAUGCAUUUUAUUUCUGAAGUACAUACCACUUUUUCUUCCCUUUCUUCCUCUUUCCUCCCUUAGAAUCGAUACUUCUGUGCCUCACAUUUUUUUUUUGUCUUUUUGUCUUUUUAGGGCUGCACCCACAGCAUAUGGAGGUUCCCAGGCCAAGGGUCAAAUUGGAACUACAGCUGCCAGCCUAGGCCAGAGCCACAGCAACGUGGGAUCCAAGCUGCCUGUGCGACCUACACCACAGCUCAUGACAACGCCGGAUUCUUAACCCACUGAGCAAGGCCAGGGAUUGAACCCGCAUCCUCAUGGAUGGUAGUUGGGAUCGCUAACCACUGAGCCACACUGGGAACUCCAUGUGCCUCAAUUUUUAUUUCCUUUGAAGAAAUAGACAACUCCCAAGAAAAUGGCUCUAGUUUCUUAUGUGUUUGAAUUAACAAAUUCAUGUAUCCAUUCUUUUAGUAAACUCUGUUAUAGGCAAGUACUAGGGUAUAGGGAUACAGUGAUGGUUAGGAUAUAUUGUCUGCACUAUGGGGAUUGACAGUCCAGCGCGAAGCAUACUGCAUCUAUGAACCUGUAUACAAAACAGAAUCAGACUCACAGACGUAGAGAAUAGGCUUGUGGUUGCCAAGGACAGGGGAGGAAGUGGGAUGGAUGGGGAUUUUGAGGUUGGUAGAUAGAAACUAUUACAUUUAGAAUGGAUAAGCAAUGAGGUCCUACUGUGUAGCACAAGGAACUAUAUCCAGUCUCUUGGGAAAGAACAUGAUGGAAGACAGUAUGAAAAAAGGAAUGUGUGUGUGUGGGUGUGACACACACAUGUAUAUUGACUGGGUCACUAUGCUGUACAGCAGAAACUGGCACAACACUAAAUCAACCAUGCUUUAAUAAUAAUGAUAAUAAAUACAGAGGACAGAACCAAUUUUACUAAGAAGAUAUGGGAAAAAUGUCACAAAUGAGGUUACAUUGGAGUUUCUUUUUAGAGAAAUUGUUAUAAUUUCUCCAGUGAGGAAAGAAAAAAAUGCUUUAUGCAGAGGGAACAGUGUAUACUAGAACUAAGGGUCAUAAAAAGGUCUGACAUGUUUGGAGAAAACUGAGAAAUUUUAUAUGGCCUGAAUGCAGGGUAUAGAUGAAAAGGGUAGGAAUUAAAGACUAAGAGAAAAAUGUGGGCCAGAUUUUGAAGGCUUUGUAUCCCUGU